UACGUAGGGACCGAGCGUUGUCCGGAAUCAUUGGGCGUAAAGAGCGUGUAGGCGGCUAUUUAAGUCCUGCGUGAAAUCCUGCGGCUCAACCGCAGACGGUCGUGGGAAACUGGACGGCUAGAGUGCGGGAGAGGAGAGUGGAAUUCCCGGGUGUAGCGGUGAAAUGCGCAGAUAUCGGGAAGAACACCCGUGGCGAAGGCGGCUCUCUGGAACGCAACUGACGCUGAGACGCGAAAGCGUGGGGAGCAAACAGG
rnacentral:rRNA from 1 species